UACGUAGGGGGCAAGCGUUGUCCGGAUUUAUUGGGCGUAAAGCGCUCGCAGGUGGUUUGUCGCGUCGUGCGUGAAAGACCCCGGCUCAACUGGGGAGGGUCGUGCGAUACGGGCGAACUGGAGGCCAGUAGGGGGAUGCGGAAUUCCCGGUGUAGCGGUGAAAUGCGCAGAUAUCGGGAGGAACACCAAUGGCGAAGGCAGCUCGCUGGGACGUUACUGACGCUGAGACGCGAAAGCGUGGGGAGCAAACAGG
rnacentral:rRNA from 1 species